rnacentral:tRNA from 1 species
GGGAGUAGUUCAGUGGUAGAGCGUCAGCUUCCCAAGCUGAAAGUCGCGGGUUCGAAUCCCGUUUCCC